AUUGAACGCUGGCGGCAGGCUUAACACAUGUAAGUCGAGCGAGCGGCGGACGGGUGAGUAAUGUCGGGGAAACUGCCUGAUGGAGGGGGAUAACUACUGGAAACGGUAGCUAAUACCGCAUACCAUCAGAUGUGCCCAGAUGGGAUUAGCUAGUAGGUGGGGUAACGGCUCACCUAGGCGACGAUCCCUAGCUGGGCUGAGAGGAUGACCAGCCACCCUGGAACGUGGACACGGUCCAGACUCCUACGGGGGGCAGCAGUGGGGAAUAUUGGCAAAUGGGCGAAAGCCUGAUAGAGCCAUGGCGCGUGUGUGAAGAAGGCUUUCGGGUUGUAAAGCAAUGUCAGCGAGGAGGCGUUACUCGCAGAAGAAGCACCGGCUAACUCCGGGCCAGCAGCCGCGGUAAUAC
rnacentral:rRNA from 1 species